rnacentral:lncRNA from 1 species
UUUGUUUCAAAAUUUGUGAGAACCUCAAAUUUUCCAUAACACUGGUUGUUGAUAACUUAAAUGGUUCUUCAAUUAUUGCAUUUUAAGUCUAUGAACGUCCAUUUUUGAUGCACUGUUUGGGCUACUUAAUGAACUCGAAUUGGGUAAUUCGUAUUUUUUAAAAAUAGUCUUACAUACCAUGUAUAACAUAUCCAAAAAUUAGAUUAAUCGGAGUUAUGAGCAAUGCGUUAGAAAAUCGCAAAGUGAGCUAUUGAAAAAUUAGUAUAAACCAAGUCCCACAUCGACUAAAUUGAGAACUUCAC